rnacentral:tRNA from 1 species
UCCUAUAGCUCAGAUGGUAAAGAAUCUGCCUGCAAUGCAGGAGACCCAGGUUCGAUCCCUGGGUCAGGAA